rnacentral:rRNA from 1 species
UACGGAGGGUGCGAGCGUUGUUCGGAAUCACUGGGCGUAAAGCGCGUGUAGGCGGCCCACUAAGUCUGAUGUGAAAGCCCGGGGCUCACCCCCGGAAGUGCAUUGGAAACUGGUGGACUCGAGUCCCGGAGAGGAGAGUGGAAUUCCUGGUGUAGCGGUGAAAUGCGUAGAUAUCAGGAGGAACACCGGUGGCGAAGGCGGCUCUCUGGACGGUGACUGACGCUGAGACGCGAAAGCAUGGGGAGCGAACAGG